rnacentral:misc_RNA from 1 species
AGGGCUUGACAUAUAGGGAAAAACCACAUCUCUGUGGUUUUUCCCUAUAUGUCAAGCCCUGGUAAGGUUCUUCGCGUUGCGUCGAAUUAAGCCACAUGCUCCGCCGCUUGUGCGGGCCCCCGUCAAUUCCUUUGAGUUUUAACCUUGCGGUCGUAAUCCCCAGGCGGGGUGCUUAAUGCGUUAGCUGCGGCACGGAGGGAGUGGAUAACCCCCCACACCUAGCACCCAUCGUUUACGGCGUGGACUAC